UAAGCAAAAGCAUUAAGUGAUCCACCUGGGGAGUACGGCCGCAAGGCUGAAACUCAAAGGAAUUGACGGGGGCCCGCACAAGCGGAGGAACAUGUGGUUUAAUUCGAUGAUACGCGAGGAACCUUACCUGGGCUUAAAUGUAGAGUGCAUGGGGUAGAAAUAUCCCUUUUCUUCGGAACUCUUUGCAAGGUGCUGCAUGGUUGUCGUCAGCUCGUGCCGUGAGGUGUCGGGUUAAGUCCCAUAACGAGCGCAACCCUUAUCGUUAGUUGCCAGCGGGUAAUGCCGGGAACUCUAACGAAACUGCCGGUGUAAACCGUGAGGAAGGUGGGGAUGACGUCAAAUCAGCACGGCCCUUAUGUCCAGGGCUACACACGUGUUACAAUGGCCGGUACAGAGGGCAGCUACCUGGAGACAGGAUGCGAAUCUCGAAAGCCGGUCUCAGUUCGGAUCGGAGUCUGCAACUCGACUCCGUGAAGCUGGAUUCGCUAGUAAUCGCGCAUCAGCCAUGGCGCGGUGAAUACGUUCCCGGGCCUUGUACACACCGCCCGUCAAGCCAUGGAAGUUGGGGGUACCUGAAGUCCGUAACCGUAAGGAGCGGCCUAGGGUAAAACUAGUGACUGGGGCUAAGUCGUAACAAGGUAGCCGUA
rnacentral:rRNA from 1 species